AGCGAGAAGGUUAAGUUUUUCCUGGAGCUUCCCCAGUGAUCACGUGAUUUGUCUCCGGCACUUGGACGGCACGGUCUGAUUUGAAAGAAACGGACACUACAUACUCACUCCUUGGUGAAGCAAACUGCUCAAGCACCUGUGACUUCACAACCAUGGAGCCUGAGCCAAGUGGAACCGUGGCCACAAGGUCGCUGUGGAAAUUUUAGCCCCAUGUCCACUCCGGAACAUUCUGUCUGCAGCUCAGCAAUUGACUGGCGGUUUCUCUGGUUCCAAUGUCAGCUGGAUUUAGACGUGUUUCAGCAAAGUGAGGACUUAAUCAAAAAAGAUGGAAUAUACAAGAAAAAAUGUGUAUGUCUUGGUCUGCUCAUCUAGUGGCAGAUGAAGCUCUAUCUCCUCAGACCAUCUCCUAGACCACAGAAAUCAUCCCUUUUGUUACACCCUUCAUCAGCGAGCAUUUCCUGGGUUCUGAACACCCCUUAUUUUCUCCUUCCCUUCAUUUUCCUUCCUUUCCCUUCUCCUUUUUGUAAAAGAAUGACUGUGACUCCCAGUUGUUACAAAUCUGCAAUGAGACAGAUGAUCAUGUCGGUGUUAGGCAAAGACUUUUCCAUACACCCAAAUUUACCCAUCCUUGGAAUAGGCAUUCCAUAUAUGCAUGUUCCUGUCUUAGGCAUCUGGGGAGAAUAAACUUGAAAAUCAUCUCUAACUGCUGACCUCUGUGAACAAAAGAGAUUAGGGGAGAGAGAUACCUAUGGGCUCUGUGUCUCAGAGCCAUACUUUCUAGUCAGGAGAGAUCAUAAUGCUUUAUGAAUAAUCGUGCUCCUAAAGGCUGUAGUCUCCUAGUUAAAGGAGAGGAGGAUUGCCUGAGUUGAAAAUGUUUCUUCAGCUGGUCUAGAGGACCUCUUGAAUUUUUUACAUUGUACCAAAACCCAAAAUUCUUAACUUAUGAAUUAAACCCAAACAUUUACAGGAGUGUCAAACUUUUCUCAACAUCUUAUAAGCAGUUACAAACAUUAUCAGGUCAAUACCAUAAUUCUAGAAUGGGAACGAACAAUAAAUUCAUAAUUUAACAUAUCACAAUUUUUCUUAAAUCUAUAUUAAUAAAAGGACAAGAAAAGUUUUUUUUUGAUGGGUGAGAGUCCAAUGACAUUGCUGUUAUCAGACACCAGUUCCAGUCUCUGCGCAGCAGUUAAACCCUUAGACUGUGCCCCUCUAACUUCAGAGCGGCUUCAGUUAUUCUUUGUUUUGAGUCUUUCUUUCCCUGAAGGGAAAGCUUAGGUCUUAGUUCUCAGGUCCAACAUUUUAAUCAAAACAAGUUCUGUGUCCCAAAGAUUAAAACAGUCAAAUGUUCAGUCUACAUUUCAGUUCCAAAGCAAACAGGAUUCAGACUGCAAAAUUGUAGUCAUCAUGUAGUAUGGCCUCUGCCUGGGUCUGUGUGUGUCACAAGUGUCUGGAAGCAGCUCAGCAUCCUGCAAUGCAGAUCAGCAUUGGCAGGUCCCAAGGACCAGGCACUUCUCUCUGUGGGGUUGGAGAAAAAUGGACCAGGGACUCCUCUCCAAUUCCUUCCUCUCCUUACAGGGGUAUUUGCAGCUACAACGUCAUCAGGUCUGUCACUCUGUUACUGCAUAUGCAGUCAUCUCAUUCAUCUUUAUUUUCUUUCUGUGAAAAAAAGCACAAAUACAUCCUUGACCCCCAUAUUAAUAUAGGGCCAGGCCAUUUUAUAAGUCAUUGCAAGGGCAUUUUCACCUUGCCUUAACAAAUGUCACCUUGGUGUCACCAUGCCAGAUCUGUCUGCAGCAGAUCUGUCUGCAACUUUUUUCCUUUUAAGUUGCUUUCAAGGAGCUAUGGCAUGCUCCACAAUUCGUUAUUAACCAUAUAUGCAGUACUUCCAUUGGAAGAGCCAUGUGUAAAAUUUAACAUAACAUUCUUUAAGGGAUCUUCAGCUAUAACAUUAGCAAAAUAUAGUUAUGUGAAUAGCAGCAACGAUCAGCUGGGAAAAGAUUAUUACUCUGGCCUUUAAACUGAGCAAACACAAUUGUCUAAGAAUCAUUAUUCUAAAAUUAUCAAUUAAUCUAUUGCUUAGUAUAAGAAACAUUGGUCAUAAUCAGUAUUCUUCUGAAAUAUCUCCU